rnacentral:rRNA from 1 species
AUUGAACGCUGGCGGCAGGCCUAACACAUGCAAGUCGAGCGCGAAAGUUCUUCGGAAUGAGUAAAGCGGCGGACGGGUGAGUAAUACAUGGGAAUCUGCCUGGUAGUGGGGGACAACGUUUCGAAAGGAACGCUAAUACCGCAUACGCCCUACCGGGGAAAGGGGGGGGAAGGUCGUUCGGACCCCUCCGCCUAUCAGAU